rnacentral:lncRNA from 1 species
AUGUGGGCAUUAGACGUCCAUCUUCCUGGAGCCCCGCGGAGUAGUGAUUCUACUGCAUGGGGUGCCACUAGGUUUAAUUCCUGCCCCAGAGUCAGUUUGCCUCCUUUAUCAACAGGGCUGUUGCUGCCACGGACUGAAGGCAGGCUGGCCACCCAGAGGCUACAGGAUCAAAUCUUUUUGAUAGGCUCCUCUUCCUUUGCCCUUUGUCCAAUGUGUUGCCAAUAUCAUCAGACCUUGCAAAGUGCCUGUGAAGUAGUCAUCAUCUCCAUCUUCAAGAAUAAACAGAUUGUUCAAAGCAUUUCUAUACAUCAAUAACAGACAAACAGAGAGCCAAAUCAAAAGUGAACUCCCAUUCACAAUUGCUACAAAGAGAAUAAAAUACCUAGAAAUACAACUAACAAAGAAUGUAAAGGACCUCUCCAAGGAGAACUACAAACUACUGCUCAAGGAAAUAAGAGAGGACACAAACAGACGGAGAAACAUUCCAUGCUCAUGGUUGGUAAUAAUCAACAUUGUGAAAAUAGCCAUAUUGCCCAAAGUAAUUUAUAGAUUCAAUGCUAUCCCCAUCAAGCUUCCAAUGACCUUCUUCACAGAACUGAAAAAACCACUUCAAACUUCAUAUGGAACCAAAAGAGAGCCCACAUAGCCAAAACAAUCCGAUGCAAAAAGAACAAAGCUGGAGGCAUCAUACUGCCUGACUUCAAACUAUACUACAAGGCCACAGUAAUCAAAACAGCAUGGUACUGGUACCAAAACAGAGACUUAGAGCAAUGGAACAGAACAGAGGCCUCAGAAGCAACCCCACACAUCUACAAUCAUCUGAUCUUUGACAAACCUGACAAAAACAAGCAAUGGGGAAAGGACUCCAUGUUUAAUAAACAGUGUUGGGAAAACUGGCUAGCCAUGUGCAGAAAGCAGAAACUAGACCCCUUCCUGUCACCUUACACUAAAAUGAACUCCAGAUGGAUUAAAGAUCUAAACAUAAGAUCUAACACCAUAAAAACUGUAGAAGAAAACCUAGGCAAAACCAUUCAGGACAUAGGCAUAGGCAAGGACUUUAUGGCUAAAACACCAAAAGUAUUGGCAACAAAAGCCAAAAUAAAUAUACAAAUGGGAUCUAUUUAAGCUCCAGAGCUUCCGUACAGCAAAGGAAACCAUCAUUAGAGCAAACCAGCAACCAACAGAAUGGGAAAAAAUGUUUGCAAUCUACCCAUCUGACAAAGGGCUAAUAUCCAGAAUCUGCAAAGAACUAAAACACAUUUACAAGAAAAAAACAAACCCAUUCAAAAGUGGGCAAAGGAUAUGAAGAGACACUUUUCAAAAGAAGACAUCUAUGAGGCCAAGAAACAUGAAAAAAAUGCUCAU